rnacentral:rRNA from 1 species
UACGUGGGUGGCAAGCGUUGUCCGGAUUUAUUGGGCGUAAAGCGAGCGCAGGCGGUUCCUUAAGUCUGAUGUGAAAGCCCCCGGCUCAACCGGGGAAGGUCAUUGGAAACUGGGGAACUUGAGUGCAGAAGAGGAGAGUGGAAUUCCAUGUGUAGCGGUGAAAUGCGCAGAGAUAUGGAGGAACACCAGUGGCGAAGGCGGCUCUCUGGUCUGCAACUGACGCUGAGGCACGAAAGCGUGGGUAGCAAACAGG